AUGGCUCCCCUCCCCCGACCCUCAUCCCCCUUUGAGCUUUGGGUCAGCCUCUUCGGGAGGCAGCCAUGGAUGAGGUUGGUUGUGCGCGGCGGUGGCUACUCCUUGCACUGCGUCAGAAGGGUGAUUUGGUUCGCGAGUCCCCUUCACCCUCCCCCCGACAAGGGUGGCUUCGGCCCAGCAGCCGUGGACCUGUGCCCUACCCGCAUUCAUGGUCGGCCAUGCACGGCUUCGGACCAAGCGAGCCCUGGGAGCUGCGCUCUUUUUGGCUCCUUUGGCUCGCUGGCUCCUCAGCGUCUUCACACCACCACCACCCUAUUGGUGCCCUGGUUGGUUGUCCAUCCCGGUGCAUCUUUGUCUCCGGCACGCUAUGGGAGUUGCGUCCCCUUCCGGCUCCUCGGGCCCGUAGGCAUCUCUGUUGCUCUGGUCCAGGUUGCUUGGAUCUACGUUCCCUUAUAG
rnacentral:rRNA from 1 species